GGUGGAAGAAAGUGAGAAUAAGGGGCUUAAGGACCAAAGAGGAGUAGAGACAAGGUUUUUGGUAGAACAAAACCUACAAAUACUAAAGCUUCAGAAAAGAUCAGAUUCCCCCCAAGAGGAGGUAUGUGGGUCUUUUAUAGACUCUCCAGGGAAGGAGACUUUUAUUUUUUUUCAGAUGUGGGAUUAAAGGAAAGAGUAUAGGUAUGAGAUAAUUUCUUUUUCUUUUUAUUUUUCUACUUUAUUACAUCCCGCAUCCUUUCCUUUCCAAGCAUCCACAUGAAGGAGCAACUAGCAUCCAACCCGCAUGAAUGAAACCCGCUCCCUUCUUUCUUUUUAUUAUUAUUACUUUUUUUAACCCGUUUGCCAUCUCUGUGUCGUGUCUCAAGCAUUUGAACUGCGUGAACUCACAUGAAGACCGGCCUAAAUUGCACACCCGCCCGCUGAACCCAUUCACACUCUUGUGAGCUCGUGACUACAACCGCUCACCCACAUCUACGCACAAACCACGCUCGGUCGCUCCCACUGUUGCUGCUCUGAAUGCCCUGGCUUCAUGCUCCACGCGUCCAGCUUGAUGCAGCAUCCUUGGCCAUCGUGCCAGGCCCCACACCACGUCGAGUACCCACACAAAACUUUUUCUCU
rnacentral:lncRNA from 1 species